GCUGGGGGGUUCUACACUGCCUCUCCACGUGUGUUCACUGCUCGCCCUGGCGUCGUGCAAGGGGUGUGUAUGUACGCACGUGUGUGUGCGUGUACAUGCAGAGUGAGGCCUGGGGUAGCGUGGGGGAACCAAGAGACCCAGAGAAGAUUCGGGGAGCAGCGACCCCAUUGGCAUCUUUGGAAUAAACAUCCCUUUGGAGAGGCUCUAAACCCUGGAGAGUGCGGGCGGGAGACACAAUGUUCAGGAGGUGCUAGAUGGAGGGAAAAACACCAGGAUGGGGCAUGGUCUCUGUCCUAAAGGGAUUGAAGGCUCACCUUUGGAUACCACUGAAGAUGCGACAAGCAUAGGACUGCACCAAAAGAUGACACAUGUGCCCACUGCACCCCACUCCACUCAAACCUACAGGAUCAAGAGGAAGGGUCCUUGGGAAGGGGCCAAGAUAGGGGCUCUGGCCAGGCCUGGACUCUCUGCAUGACCCGGGGUUUCAAGGACCACCCCUUUCUGAGAGCCCUAGGGACCUGCCAGCACCUCUGUCUAUGGGGACACCUCAGUGUUUGAGCCUGGCUAGCAUUACCUGCAGAGUGUGGGUGAUGCUGGUUCACCCUGAAGUUUGAGAACUACCGCACUGGAGCUGCGCUACCCAUUACUAUAGCCACCAGCCCCACGCGGCAUGAACCCUUGCAGUGUGGCUAGUCCGAACUUGAGAUGUGCUGUAAGUGUAAAACACACAUCAGAUUUCCAAGACUUAGAAAAAAAGAAUAUAAAAUAAUUCAUCAGUAAUCUUUUAUGUUGAUUUCAUGUGGGAAUGCUCAUCUUUUAGAUAUA
rnacentral:lncRNA from 10 species